UGUUUGGCCACGGGCUACUCUGCAAGUGACGUCACUUAAGUAUGGCGGCAGCCACUUGUGAUUUGUUAAUACUUAAUAGCAUUGAUCGCAUGUAGCGUGUACGAUAAUGAGUUUAUGGAGAGAGAUUGUACGCACGCUUGUGGACAGUGCAUAAAGUACAGCGAAAUGUGAAAAAAUCAAAGAUCACAUGUGCAAGACGAGCACGUUGUUACAACCUAUAAAGAAGUGUUUUAUUCCAGUCAUCAGACGGAAAAAUUGUGGAAGGUGUGACUUUACUGAGGAUUUUUGAUGAUGUGAGAGACUCCAUCCGUACUGAAAAGUCACCUUCAAGGGAUUUCAUCAUCAGUGACAGUCGGCACCUGACAAUGAAGUGUUGACUAUGUGUGUGGCCUCUGAUCACACAUACUGUAAGACUGAACUUGAUCUACUCUUUACUCACAUAAUGGUUUAUAGGACCUUUGGGGAAAGUUUUCAUAUAAAAAUGAGUAACGCAUAAAGUUUUUAUGGUGAUAUGGAAAUUCAACUGUUGUUAAUAAAGAAAGCAAAUGACUUGCA